rnacentral:rRNA from 1 species
UACGUAGGGGGCAAACGUUGUCCGGAAUCAUUGGGCGUAAAGCGCUUGUAGGCGGUCCCGCAAGUCGGAUGUUAAAUACCCCCGCUCAACGGGGGUCCGCGUUCGAUACUACGGGGCUAGAGAAAUGUAGAGGAAAGCGGAACUACCGGUGUAGCGGUGAAAUGCGUAGAUAUCGGUAGGAACACCAGUGGCGAAGGCGGCUUUCUGGACAUUUUCUGACGCUGAGAAGCGAAAGUUAAGGGAGC